rnacentral:rRNA from 1 species
CAGCAGUCGCCACGGUAAUACGUAGGGUGCAAGCGUUAAUCGGAAUUACUGGGCGUAAAGCGUGCGCAGGCGGUUAUAUAAGACAGAUGUGAAAUCCCCGGGCUCAACCUGGGAACUGCAUUUGUGACUGUAUAGCUAGAGUACGGCAGAGGGGGAUGGAAUUCCGCGUGUAGCAGUGAAAUGCGUAGAUAUGCGGAGGAACACCGAUGGCGAAGGCAAUCCCCUGGGCCUGUACUGACGCUCAUGCACGAAAGCGUGGGGAGCAAACAGGAUUAGAUACCCCCGUAGUCCCUGUCUCUUAUAC